GAUGAACGCUGGCGGCGUGCCUAAUACAUGCAAGUCGAGCGAACAGACGAGGAGCUUGCUCCUCUGACGUUAGCGGCGGACGGGUGAGUAACACGUGGAUAACCUACCUAUAAGACUGGGAUAACUUCGGGAAACCGGAGCUAAUACCGGAUAAUAUAUUGAACCGCAUGGUUACAUAGUGAAAGACGGUUUUGCUGUCACUUAUAGAUGGAUCCGCGCCGCAUUAGCUAGUUGGUAAGGUAACGGCUUACCAAGGCCACGAUGCGUAGCCGACCUGAGAGAGGAUCAGUCGCCGAUGUGAGAGGGAGACGGGCCACACUCGUACGGAGGGCAGCAGUAGAGACUCUUCCGCAGUGGGAGAAGGGCAGACGGAGCAGCGCCGCAUGAGUGAUGAAGGUCUUCGGAUGGGAAAACUCUAUUAUUAGGGAAGAACAAGUGUGUAAGGAACUAUGCAUGGUGUGACGAUACCAAAACAGAAAGCCAGGUCAAACCGCG
rnacentral:rRNA from 1 species